GACGAACGCUGGCGGCGUGCUUAACACAUGCAAGUCGAACGGAAAGGCCCUGCUUUUGUGGGGUGCUCGAGUGGCGAACGGGUGAGUAACACGUGAGUAACCUGCCCUUGACUUUGGGAUAACUUCAGGAAACUGGGGCUAAUACCGGAUAGGAGCUCCUGCUGCAUGGUGGGGGUUGGAAAGUUUUGGCGGUUGGGGAUGGACUCGCGGCUUAUCAGCUUGUUGGUGGGGUAGUGGCUUACCAAGGCUUUGACGGGUAGCCGGCCUGAGAGGGUGACCGGCGACAUUGGGACUGCGAUACGGACCAGACUCCUACGGGAGGCAGCAGUGGGGAAUAUUGCACAAUGGGCGGAAGCCUGAUGCAGCAACGCCGCGUGCGGGAUGACGGCCUUCGGGUUGUAAACCGCUUUCGCCUGUGACGAAGCGUGAGUGACGGUACUGGGUAAAGAAGCACCGGCUAACUACGUG
rnacentral:rRNA from 1 species